rnacentral:rRNA from 1 species
AACACGUGGACAACCUGCCUUGGAGUGGGGGGAUAACCUGGGGAAACUCGGGCUAAUACCGCAUACGUCUCGAGAACUUCGGUUCGAGAGGGAAAGCUGGCCAAUACUUGUAAGCUGGCGCUCCUUGAGGGGUCCGCGUUCGAUUAGCUUGUUGGUGAGGUAAUGGCUCACCAAGGCGACGAUCGAUAGCCGGCCUGAGAGGGUGAUCGGCCACACUGGGACUGAGACACGGCCCAG